AUUGAACGCUGGCGGAAUGCUUUACACAUGCAAGUCGAGCGGCAGCACGGGGGCAACCCUGGUGGCGAGCGGCGAACGGGUGAGUAAUACAUCGGAACAUGCCCAGUCGUGGGGGAUAACACUUCGAAAGAAGUGCUAAUACCGCAUACGUCCUGAGGGAGAAAGCGGGGGAUCGCAAGACCUCGCGCGAUUGGAGUGGCCGAUGUCAGAUUAGCUAGUUGGUGGGGUAAAGGCCUACCAAGGCAACGAUCUGUAGCUGGUCUGAGAGGAUGAUCAGCCACACUGGGACUGAGACACGGCCCAGACUCCUACGGGAGGCAGCAGUUGGGAAUUUUGGACAAUGGGGGCAACCCUGAUCCAGCCAUUCCGCGUGAGUGAAGAAGGCCUUCGGGUUGUAAAGCUCUUUCGGCAGGAACGAAACGGUGAGCUCUAACAUAGCUCGCUAAUGACGGUACCUGAAGAAGAAGCACCGGCUAACUACGUG
rnacentral:rRNA from 1 species